rnacentral:tRNA from 1 species
GAAGCCUUAGUUUAAUUAAAAUGUCUGAGUUGCAAUCAGGAGAUGUAGAAUAAUUCUAUAGGUUUUA